rnacentral:sRNA from 1 species
GCCAGGCAUGGUGGCACGUGCCUGUAAUCCCAGUGGCGCCGGAGGCUGAGGCAGGAGGACCUCAAGUUCAAAGUCAGCCUCAGCAACAGCAAGGGACUAAACAACUCAGUGAGAUCCUGUCUCUA